GCUCAAUUACACCCGACCGGGGCUUCCAAAGCUCAAUCCGAGGCUGCUGGAAAACUGGAAGAAUGAAGUGAAGGAGAAGGGCCGCAUCAACUGUCCCAACAACUGCUGUGAAGCCAUUUACUCCAGCGUCUCGGGGCUGAAGGCUCACCUGGCCAACUGCAACAAGGGGGACCACUCGGUGGGCAAGUACCGCUGCCUCCUGUGCCAGAAGGAGUUCAGCUCCGAGAGCGGGGUCAAGUACCACAUCAUCAAGGCUCACUCGGAGAACUGGUUCCGAACCUCCGCCGAGGCCAGCCGGAAAAAGAAAAGCAGGGAACAGCUUUCUUCCAGCAAAGAGGAGAAAAAGAAAAGCACAAGUGGGAAGAAAAGGGGGAGAAAACCCAAGGAGAGGCCUCCAGAACCGUCCCCGAAGGGCAGAGAGAGCGUGGCAGCAAAGACUAAUCACAAGA